GGAGCUAUGACUCAGUUGGUAGAGUACUUGUCUAGCAUGCAGGAAGCCCUGGGUUUGAUUCUAGCACCA
rnacentral:tRNA from 1 species